GAUGAACGCUGGCGGCGUGCCUAAUACAUGCCAGUCGAGCGAACAGACGAGGAGCUUGCUCCUCUGACGUUAGCGGCGGACGGGUGAGUAACACGUGGAUAACCUACCUAUAAGACUGGGAUAACUUCGGGAAACCGGAGCUAAUACCGGAUAAUAUAUUGAACCGCAUGGUUCAAUAGUGAAAGACGGUUUUGCUGUCACUUAUAGAUGGAUCCGCGCCGCAUUAGCUAGUUGGUAAGGUAACGGCUUACCAAGGCGACGAUGCGUAGCCGACCUGAGAGGGUGAUCGGCCACACUGGAACUGAGACACGGUCCAGACUCCUACGGGAGGCAGCAGUAGGGAAUCUUCCGCAAUGGGCGAAAGCCUGACGGAGCAACGCCGCGUGAGUGAUGAAGGUCUUCGGAUCGUAAAGCUCUGUUAUUAGGGAAGAACAAAUGUGUAAGUAACUAUGCACGUCUUGACGGUACCUAAUCAGAAAGCCACGGCUAACUACGUG
rnacentral:rRNA from 1 species